AGUGAAACCAUCUGGGCCUGGAGUAAAGGUGUUUGGCAUUGUUACUGUGGUCACUGAUGAGGAGGUAGAGGGAGGAUUCACAGCCAAGUUGCCAUGAUCUUGUCGUUAUGGAGACAGACAUGCUGGGCUUCAUCACAAGGCUGUUUUUCUCCAGGUAUGAUGUUGCUGUGGAAACACAAAGCCCAAAUCCUCAAAGAACACUCUGUUCUAGUCCCAGCUGCUGUAUCCAUCUGCGUUGUAUCUCAUUAGCAGAAGAGCCUAGUGAGAUAGGAGUUGCAUCUCUGCUCAUCCAGAUCUCUAGAGAAGGGAUCUACCCCUGGACUUUUUCCUGGAAAACUCUUCACGAAGCCAUAGGUAUGGAUGGAAGAAAAUGCACCAGUCCAAUAGCAGUAGGAGCCUGGGUAUUCUAUGCAUUUGAGUAUCUCACAUCUUCUGGAUCUGCCUAAACCCAGUCGCCAAGUACCACAGAUAUU
rnacentral:lncRNA from 1 species